rnacentral:rRNA from 1 species
CGCGUAAAUAAUCUACCCUGAUGUCUGGGAUAACCAGCCGAAAGGCUGACUAAUACCGGCUAUAUGCUACCCUGUUGGGGGGUAUCAGGAAAGGUGGCCUCUUCUUGAAAGCUAUCGCAUUGGGAUGAGUUUGCGUACCAUUAGCUAGUUGGUGGGGUAAUGGCCUACCAAGGCAUCGAUGGUUAGCGGGUCUGAGAGGAUGAUCCGUCACACUGGCACUGGAACACGGGCCAG